CCUACGGGUGGCAGCAGUGAGGAAUAUUGGUCAAUGGGCGCGAGCCUGAACCAGCCAAGUCGCGUGAGGGAGGACGGCCCUACGGGUUGUAAACCUCUUUUGCCGGGGAGCAACGGGCGCCACGUGUGGCGUCACUGAGAGUACCCGCAGAAAAAGCAUCGGCUAACUCCGUGCCAGCAGCCGCGGUAAUACGGAGGCUGCGAGCGUUAGCCGGAUUUAUUGGGUUUAAAGGGUGCGUAGGCGGAUCGUUAAGUCAGUGGUCAAAUGUCGGGGCUCAACCCCUUCCCGCCAUUGAAACUGGCGUUCUUGAGUGGAAGAGAAGUAUGCGGAAUGCGUGGUGGAGCGGGGAAAUGCAUAGAUAGCACGCAGAACCCCGAUUGCGAAGGCAGCAUGCCGGCUUCCGACUGACGCUGAAGCACGAAAGCGUGGGGAUCGAACAGGAUUAGAUACCCCAGUAGUC
rnacentral:rRNA from 1 species